AAGGGUUAUCGGCUUGUGUUCUUAAUAAACAUCAAUAUUUGUAGUGUCCGCGUAUAAAAAGAUUUUAAAUAUAUUCUGGUAAGCAGUUUUGUCUUACAAAGUCAAGAGUUAAGAGAAAAAUAAACAUGAGCAAGUUCACGAUUGUUCUCCUGCUGAUUGCCCUGGUCACCAUGACCUUGGCGAGACCCCAAGAUGACGGAACCAAAGUGGAUGUCGUCGACGGUGACCGCCAAGUUGAUUUCGUUGACACCGACCAAUCACAAGUGAACUUUGUCGACCCUGUGGAUGUUGUUCAACCUCGGGACGGAGGGAGCAAGUGAUGAUUAGUAAAUAAGUCUUCAAUUAACAUUGAGAUGUUAAUAUAAUUUAGGAGUGAAUUCGUACAGUAUAAGUGCAGAACACAGUUCCAGUUAUAUUUCAACAUUAUGUAAUAACAAUAUUAUAAUAUAUAUGUAUUUCUUAAUAUAA